AGUAAUUGGCUUGGCCUGUUGUAGAAAAUAAUCAGCCUUUCUACGGAACAAAUGCUAGAACAUGCUAAUGAGGGACUGAGUUCGUUAAAUUGAUGGCGUGGAGUGACAGUUAUUAAUGAUUGUUAUGAUAAACAGACGAGUGCGAAUUGGGAUGAGUUGGGCAAAAGUGACAGUUUAAAAAUAACGUAUAUUGGAAAGUACUAACGAAGUAAUAUACUGUUAGGAAAACAAUCAUGCAAGUUGUCAAGGGAAGAAGUGUAAUUAUACAGCUGUACGAGCUGCCUGGGAGGACAGGGACCUGGCUGAUAAUGGACACGUUUUUUGUUGGCAAGGGGAAAAUAUGUUAUGGCAGGGAGGAGUACAGAUUGAUAAAUUAAUUGGCCUUUCUCAUUGUUCCAAGAGCAAACUUGGCCAGCAAUAGCCAAGCAGAUUAGGUAAAUAAAUGAAGUGACCAGCUCUUCCUCUGCAUCUGACCCAUUCACUGCCCUUUCUUUUUAAUCCACCUACGCAUGAACCACAGUCCCACUGCCUAAGGUGGCAGUGUUUGUAUAAAAGUAUCUUCUCUGGAAAUGUGUACAGCUUUUUAUAAUGAAAUGCUUUGUAUUAUGAAGAGUUUUGUAUUAAGAUGAAGUACAGUAAGCCAUCAGAGGUCAUCAUCCUUAUGCAAAGAAUUAUGAAAGCAAUUUGGAGGGUGCAAGUGUGCUGAUGUUUUUGUGCACUGACAUCUUUUCUUUUGAAGUAAAAUCUAGACAGAACUGUCCAUCUGAAGGCUUGCAAGAAAAUGAGGGAAAAUAUUCAUCCUUAGUAGGAUGAAUAGUUUGGGAUGUAGAAGUAUGGAACUAUGACUGCUUAUUGUUGCAUAAAUUUAUGCUGAAGGGCUUGAGGUUGUUGGCUGUUGAAGUAGGACGUUCAUGUAUCUAUUGAUUGAGACUGACAGCAGUGUCAUAAUUCAGCCAUUGGACUGCAUGUGCGGUGACUCAGUGUAAGAGCAAGAGAUAAAUAUGAAGCAUUAUCCUAGUAAGUAUGAGGACAUACAAAAGAAGUAGGCAGUUUAAAAAAAAAACCAAAACAUAAAAGUAGCUUAAAAAAAAAGUCAGCAUAGACAGUGAUACUCCAACCGCAUAUGAAGGCUCACAUUAGUAGGAGUACGAGGGGUACUACACUGUGGGUCACAAAAAUCUUUGUUUUAAUGCAGAGGAUUGUGGGGUACAUUUGGGCAGGCCUGAGAUUGGGUAGUCAGUUCUGUUCCACUUCUUGCACCUGCUUGUUUAUACUGUCUUGCAUUUACAUAUCAACUUUUCUCCAUGGAAAUAUGAGCAAAUUAUCAUGCUCUUCAUAAAAAUGGGAGAAAUUAUUUUGAAUAAGUUGGCUAGGAGGAAACAGUGUCAUCACUGUCAAAUUCCAGCUGCUCAGUACGCAGCACUGAAUGGAAGAUGGAGAACAGUUUAGAUUUUAUAUGACAGGCUACAGCCAUAUCGGCACUGAGCGGAGCCUGUAAAAUGCUUGCUUACCAUUUUGUUAGCUGUUUUACUGGAUUCAGCUUGGUCUUGGUCUUGCAUAGGUUCCAGUAAUCAUGUAACCAAUUCUUUGUGACAGGCCUCAGGAACAUGAUCUAUUCUCUAAUCUUACCAUCUUUCCUUUGCUGCCCUAAUUUUCUUGUUUUCUAUCCUAAAUCCUAGUUCUUAAAGUCUCAAUCUUGUGAACACUCAUUCACCAAAUGCAAUUAUGUGACUACAGUGAUAAAAGAUAACUCUCCUCCUUAUUUAAUAAUUAAGUCCAAGUCUUUCUUCUAAUACUUGGUUAUGGUUAUCCCACUGUUAGUGUAAAAAAAUAAAUAUAAUUUCCACAGAACUUGUAAUUUUCCUAACAGUGUCACAGAGUCAAUGUGCGUAUAGUUUAAGAAACUGAUAAUUAGUAACUUAGUACAGUUUAUUAUGUAUAGACUCUACUGAACUUCAUUGUCCCAUUCAGAAUUAGACAUCACUGACUAAACUUCCUUUCUUUUAAUCAAAAAUGUAAAAAUUUCCAAAUUUCUUUGUGACAGAGAAGAACAGACAUGAAGUUCCAAACUAUUCUGGACUUCUCUGGAUGAUGAAGUCUUGUGUUAUCAUCUGAUAUUCAUUAUUAUUUCUUGAAUGCCUUUAUAUAUUAAACCAUGCUUUCAGCCUUCUCUUUUAAAACAGUUUGUAAGUUCCAUUUUUUUUUCCCUUCAUUGCUGUUUAACUGCACUGCUAAUUUCUAUCUAGUGCAGGACAUCAUUACUAUUUUAUUUUGAGACCAGAGGCUGGCCAAGGGCCACCCCUUGGUUACAAAAUUUACUUCUGCCUUUGUACUGUUUUCCUGCAUGCGUCUUGAGUUUGAUAUCGUUGUAUGUUAAAAAUUCUUCUUGUUGAGACUACCUCAAAGAGGUUUGCCUUUUUAAUAUUUAAUGCAUCAAAUUGUCUCCUCUGUUAACCUCAUAGAUGAGGAUGAUUUCAAUUAAACUCUGGAAAUUACAUUAGCAAGUCAGUUAGAACUUGAGUUUGGAGGAACUCUCUGUUAACAUUUUUGAUGCGAUCAGUGUUCACACAGCAAAAAUGCUGCCAGAAUUAAGUCCUUCUCAUUUCUAUGUAGUAAUAACAAGUCAAGUUAACUGUGUGUGUGCAGAAAUAUUUAUUCUACAAGACCUAAAAUUUGAGUGAGAGUGGGUGAGUGGAAGUGAGCUAAACCAUAAAUAUAUAGUAAAACAGGAAUAUUUGCUUUCUAUAGAUAGGGUGCUUAAACUUCUCUGGAUUAGAAUUAUAUAUAACAAAGGAGGUGCUGUGGUAGGAAUCUGGCAUCUAAAGGGGUAGUGAAACUCUGCUGAUGUCUGCCAUUCUCAUGAGUUUUUCAUAGACAAGACCACAGCAAUAUGAAACAGCAGUGAGAACAAAGAUUCGUAACAAGCGCCUUCUGCUUUUUCAAACUCAGAGGUGCAAAAAUAACUACAUUUUAGAAGUAAAUAUCAUAUUGGGAUUUCCAUUGCUUUUUUUUUUUUUUUUUUUUUUUUUUUUUGUUUCUGUUGCAAUCUUUCAUCCCUUUUGAGAAAUCUGAGUGGCAGUCUUUUGGUAAACUUGAUUUGUCGUGUCUUUGAUACAGUAUUAUUAACAGCUGUUUCCCUAAUAGAUAUGUUAAAAGAAAAGAAUUUACAGCUGAGAUUGUUGUGAGGAGAGGGAUUUAUUUUGCCCUUACUCUGAACUGUCUAACAGUAGAGAAGCCUUGAUUUUGUUUGUCUGUCAUGGUACCGGAAGCAUAUAGAUAGUGGGAGGUUGUUUUCAGUUGUAGAAGGCAACAUGAGGUGGCAUAUGGCACAUGAGGUGAAUCCAUACUUUGUCCAAACAUUGAGUAUAAAAAAAUUACAUCAGUAUUAGCAACAGUCACAGAUUUUUAAAGAACAGCAUGUUACCUCUGUGUACAGAUUUCUGCUUCGGAGAGUAGCUUUGCUUCAUGAACAUAGACACCUAUUGUGCUAAUUCUUUUGAGAUAAUUACGGUGUACUUCUCUGAGGCUUUUCCUUUUUUCCUUAUGAGGUAAUACAGCAUGUGUUCUUAGGUUGUUACCUAUGGAAAUUGGAUGCCAUUGCCAGUGAAAUCUCCCCAAAUAACUUUGGCACUCAGGAGUCGGCUUUGGCCUGAGGAGCAUCCCAAGGCUGUGAAGGCCAUCAAAUCCCUUCCACCUCACCCAGGUAUUGGCUGUGGUGAGAUGAGCGUGCUGUGCCAGCAUCUUGGCUGAUGAAGGACUGCUGUGCACCCUCAGGCCCAUCUGAUCAGAUAACCUGCUCAAAUAAGACUGUUAAACAGUCACAAAUAUUUAGCUAAUAGAAUUUAUAAUUGUUGAACUGAAUCAAUUUUUUACAAACUCGCAUUAUGGAUUUCCUGCAUGUCUUUAAAAAAAAAGAAAAGAAAAAAAAAAGAAAAGAAAAAGAAAGCGAAGUUUAAAUUGUAAAUUUGUUUGCUACUGUCUACUACUUUCACAAUGAAUGCUACUGAACGCUUGUUAUUGAAACUCUUAUGUAAAUAAGAGGCAAAUGUGAGACAGCUUGCAGGUACUUAGAAUAUUUCAGGAAUAUCCCUAUAAGGCUGACUAAUAUUCUUUAAUUUAGGCUUAAGAAAAAAUGGAAAGCUGUAUGCAUUAUUCAAACUAUUUAUUUUAAUAGUAAAUCCAAGUAGUAGUAAGGGAUGAGGUGGUUUUUUUGCUUUCUUAUUUGCUGUCUCAGCGAUUUAACAGAUGCAAAUAAUCCCUCUCUUCCAGCUUGCAAGGGAUUUAGAUGAGAUGUAGUAGAGCCAUUUUUUGCUAAUAAUGGUAAUCCAGUAAUGUAGAGUUGAAAUCUAAUCCUUUCAGGAGUUUGUUUUGUUUGCUUUUUCUCCCUAAUGUUAGCUCAAGUGAGUUACAUGAAAGGAAUAGAGAACACAAAUAUGAUUUACUCUUUCUGUGUGUAUGUGCAUUUUGCUAUAUACCUAUACAUAUAUCUAUACAUAUUAGGUUCCACACAAAUGGUUUUAAAGUAAAGAAUUGUCAUGGCUUUAUGAAUUUUGGUUAUCAGUAUUCCACAUCAUAACAUCACGCAGUGUACUGGGAGUUAAAGAGCAAAUGCUCUAGUUCCGGGUACUUGUCCGGAAGAGAAGAACUACGUUCCCCAGAAGACUGUUCAAGUACUGUUAUCAUUCCUGCUCAGGGGAACAGAUAUAAGGCCUGAAAGUCACCUGACCUGAGUCUUCUCUUUCUUCUCAUCUUGUCAUGCUCGCUUUCGGAUUGUCUCACUGCUGCUCCCGGCUGCUCGCAAGGCUUCAGUAUUAGUGUAAGGCCUUUAGGUCUCGGACAAUCCUUCUCUCAAUUAUAUUUGAUUUUAUUAACAAUUAUAUUGAAUUAUAUUGUAUUAUAGUGUGUUAUCUUACAUUCCGAUACUAUAUUUAGUAAAUUAGUUUGUUUCUCCUCAGAUCGUUGCCGCUGUUUUUUUUUUUUUUUUUAAUUACUCUUUCUUGUGAGGGGUCCCCUGUUUCCCUUUUCUGGAGGCGCAGAUUUUGCAAAAAAAAAAAAAAAAAAAAAGCCUCCGCCCCACUAGUCACGGAACCAGGCUGGACCAGCCCGUAAACCGUCAACAGGAAUACAACUGCUUUCCAACACAAAGGAACUAAAUUUUUGCAUUCAUGGGGGAAAAAAAAUUCUAUACCAACUAAAAGCAAAGGAGACAAAAUUAAUGUAGCAUUGUUAAAGAACACACGUGUGCUCAUAGAAAUAAAUAUGCUAUACAAUAUACUUCGAAGUUCAUCAUGCUCGCAACAUUAAUAUGUUAAUAUUCACUUGACAACUUUUAGUAUUAAGAACUUUGCAUACAGACAUUUUCGCUUUGAGAAUCUAGGUACUUCAGCAGGUACAUGUAACUGAUAAAUCUUUUUGUAGUUGUCAAAACAACUUUGUACUUCUUCCUUUACAACUAAAAGCACUUUGACAGUCUGAAACUUGGUAUAUCAAUAGGGAAAGCAAACAGACUAUUCAUUUUAGAACCACAUUUCACUGAGGGUUUUGACAUUUUUGAAAUAUAUCGCUUGAAAACACUGAGACACAGAUGAUUAAAGGUUGUUACAGGCAAAAAUGUUGUUGGUUAUUGAUGUUGUUGAUGUCACUGUGUGACAUCUUUGCAUAUUGUUAGUUUUGUUUGGAAACCAGGGUAGUUUGACCAUAUGGGCUCUAUCUGCAUGUCUCAUUGUAAUCUGCGCACUAGUUUCUAUGCCUGUAGGGCCCUGAAAAAUAAAUAAAUAACAAUGUUAACCUAGUUGCUGCCUGGUGAUUGUCAUUGUUCGUAGUCUACCUGUCAGGUCUCAGUUCUGUUGAUGUGUGGAACAGCAUUGUCCUGAUGCCUGAAGUCACUCACAAUUAAUUCAAGCUAGAUAUACUGCCAGGAUAGGAUUGCUUUAGAAAGAUAAAAUAUACUACAGUGACCUGAUAUUUUACGUUUCAAUUUGGCAAACUUACUGUGUGUUUCGCCAUUAUUUGCAGUGUAGUCAGGAAUAGGACUUCACACCAUAACGGCAUACACUCAUGGCUUUUGGUUUGUGACUGUUUCUCAGUUUAACUGGAUAAUAUUUUUUCCUUUUAAGUUGUUGAGAAAUUACAGAUGUUAUUGGGAAUGUCUUGCCAAACACGAAAAUUAGGUAUAAAUUAUAGAGUUGUCCCUCUCUCCCAGAGUUUCUCAGCUGCUGAAAGAGCAUUCUCUGAUAUGCUCUUGCAAGAGAAGAUACUCAGAAAGUAGCAGAGACAUAUUUUUUAGUAGUGUUAAUAUGGAGCUCAGUCUAUUUAGGUAAUGUUAAUACUCGGCUUGUUGUGCUGGGGAAAGAAACAAGUCAACCCAAAUAAGUGUAAGAUUUGUCUAGUUGGCAUUGGUGGUGCUACCAGUGAGAUGUGAAGGGUGUGCUCAGCAUGGACUGGAAUCUAGAUGCUCAGUCUUUAGCAGAAGCAACUUCUUGCACAUAUAGUAUUGUUUUGCUCAAUACUUAUGUUCAGAAUAGUUAUUAUGGGACAGUUUAUAGCAUUCUCAAGUUUCCCUUGAAAGAUGAGCCUUCUAAAUUUUCUGAGGCUAAAGUUCAGGUUUAGCGUUGAUAUACAUCUAUUCAGAUAUGAAUCUGUGUGAAAAUCUUUCUAAGUGUUAAUGAGAAUAUCAUUAUGUUGCUUCUCAUUUUUGAAGGAUUGUUUUUGAUAUGGUUUUGUAUGUCAGCAAAACCUUGGCAUCUUGGACAUGUUAUGAAACAGUAGAGUCUGGCUAUCUGUCUCACUUCAGUUUUCCCUUUUUGUAUUUCUAAGUCUGUAGAGUAUAUAAAUUAUUCACCACACCAUGUGGUUUAAAAUAAGGAGAAAAAAAAGAAAAAGAUAAAAAAAAAAAAUGGGGAAAAUUACCUAUCAGUGUUAAAUACAUAUAUUUGUUCUUUGAGAACUGUAAUCAAAGAUGCUGUGUGGAGGAGUAAGAAAUCACUAUGAGCUGAAGCUCUCAAUAUGUGGAAUAUAUAUCACACAAAAUUAUUUAUCCCACUUUCUUUUGGCAUGGGUGAGUAAUAUCCAUGCUGAUUUGUCUGUUUACUCAUUUUUGUUGUUUCUAUUGACAGAAAACAGAAAUGUAAGAAUGAUUGACUGUAGGAUAGAGCCGUAGACUAACUCAUCCCAUAUAAAUUAAUAAAACAAAUAUUAAUGGAAGCACAUUUUACAGGAGCUUGUUUUUUCAACAGAGUUGUUUAGACUCCUGAGACUUAUCCUAACAGUAGUUCUCGACACAAUCAAUAAUAAUUUUAAUUGCUUUUGCAAAGUGAAUUUGAAAACUCUGUGAGAGCAGGAUAUCUGGAGAUGAGUUGCUUUAAUCAUUCUACUGCCAAACUCUUGGCAGCACAAUUACCUGGUUUUAAAUUAAGCCCAUGUCUAAACUAUGGAUACUUAGGGCAAGAGAAAUGUCCACAGUGGUGUUAGCCUAUCCAGGGACAUUCCUAACAUACUAAAAUUCUUUGCCUUCUUCAAAGCUGCAGUAUGCCAGCAAACUAUAUGUUGACUCUGUUACAGAAUUUCAUAGCUGUCUGUCCAGGAAGAUUUAUUUAAUGUGUGAUGGUAAAAAUCAGGAUUGACACAGGCUUAUCGUAAUAGAAGUAGAAAGAUUGUUCUCUGUGAAAAAGGGAAGGCAGUUCAUGUACCAUGAUGCUUUUCAGAUGCCAGAAUUGCUUUUGUGGAACUAAACAAUAUUUUUUCUCUGCCUGUCUCAGCUGGUAGGAAGUUCAGACACUCUUGUAUCUCUAGAUGGGUGACCAUCCUCCUGCUACAAACACCAUUCAGAUAUUAGGAAAGCUUCUGAAUCUAUUAACAUUUCAGUGUUGUGCAGAGAGUCUAACAGAAACAUGUAUUUGAAUCUGUUAUUUCCUCAUAUAAAAUUUUUUCUAUAUUUAAGUUGCAAAAGCAUUGAACAACACUGAUGAACAACAGAAUGGUUUUACAGUAUAUUCCUGACAUAGGGCCUUUAUCAUUUUCCUUACCAAAUACUAAUUUUCUGUAUGAAGGUUCUCAAAGGAGUGUUCAUUAGUAUGGCAGAAGAGGAUUAUUUGCAAAACAGGUGCUGUGGGCUUAUGUCUUCCUGUGAGGGUGAAAAUGAAGUGCCUAAGAAAUGCAUACUUUUUCUGAAAAUGUUUGAGUUUAAAAUGUCUCCUAACAUUAUAUAACACAAAAGCAAAUUUCCCAAUGUUGGAGUCAGUAACACUAUAACUAAUGAAGAUUAGCUGAGGCUUUACUAGAUUAUAUACUCAAACUUUUAAGAGGAUUUGUCAAUAGGGAAUAUAGAGGGUUCUUUCUGUUCUUUUUUUUUUUAAUGUAGAUGAGGCAAAAUUUAGAUUUAGAGAAUAAAUAUGUUGAACUGAGAAAAGUCUGAAACGCACAAAAUAUUUGUUGUAAUUCUUUUGUGAUUGUGGCUUAGAUCCAAGUCCUAUGCUUGCACAUACUUCUUCACACUCAGACCUGAUUUUGUUGUUCUUACUGUUGCCUUAAUAUCCAUUCCUUUGAUGUUGCAAUGAGAUUUUUUUUGUUUAUUUUGCUUCUCUCAGCGAAGUCAUUUGUAUGUACCAGAUUCAGCUUGAGAGACAACCAAUAUUUCUCUAUUGCACAAGGAUGUAACUCUACAUUUAAAUUUAUUGUAAAACAUUAUGCUCAUCUGUAAUUAUAUUACUUUAAAAUAAAGCCUUCAUCCACUUUAAGAUCUUUUGAUGUCCCUUCCCUGCUGACUCUUUUUUUCUUGUAACCACUUACGUUAAUGUGAAGAGACAGUUGAGUAAAUGCACAAUGAACUUCAAAACCUAGUAAUUGUUUUUCAGAAAGAAUGAAACUUGUGAAUUAGAUAUGGAUUGUAAAAGAACACCAGAGCUGAUUAGUGUUCGUUCGGUUUGCCUGCUGGACCGUUCUGACACCUGUCUUCCAGCCUUCCCCAUAAAUGCCACGGCUGAUCCCUCUGUACUGCCAGUCACAUGGAAGCCGGGGAGAGCUUGUGGGUGGGAGUUAAAAGACUCCCAGUGAACCUUGUCAAGCUCAGCAAUUCAUGAAACCCGACAUAAAAGGCAACGUUAAACAAAGAUGAGUUGAAUCCAUUUACAUGCAAACUGUAGUUAUCUGUAUGAAAAAAGCCAGGAAUGGGUGAAUGUUGAAGGGGUUACUAUUUCUUUCUUUCCUUUAGGAUGUGUAGAUAAUGAGUUGUGUAAGAUUGUGAGGGGGGAAAAUAAGCCAACUUUGAAGGCAUUGAAAAAUUGCUUUUUAGGAAAAAUCCUUUUCAUCCUAACCAUCUGGUUGCAUCUUGUUUACAGCACAGUGUGCCAGUUUGUGCUUAUUAAUCAUGCUUACACAAGUAUCUUAAUUACUCCCUGUGUAGCUGCUCUGUUUUGAACUCAGAAGUUGACCUUUCUCUUUUUAUUCCUUAAAACCAUUAAUCAUACAUAAUCAACGCCAACGGGGCAGAGCCAUGGAGAAGGCUACCCAGAUUCCAAGAGCACAUGCUACUCCUGAGAAACCGUGUAGACAAGAGUGACUGCAUUGCUAUCAGUCAAGCAUAUCUUAAUUAAUGACAGCUUUGUGUUCAGGCGUGCUUUCACACUCGUAGCAUAGUUCUGUUCUCUUUUUCUUCCAUCUAUCAAGGUAAUGGUUGCUUCUUUAAUUCAUGAAUAUCAUUCCUUAAAAGAAAAAGUAUCUGUUUGCAAAAACUUCAGAGGUAUUAUAAGCGGAAAGGAUCUGGUUCUUUCGGCUACAUUCUAUGCUUACUUCUGCAAUUAAAAGUCUGGGAGGAUGCUGAGUGGCCAGAGAAGUUCCUAGACUAUGGAUUCCUCACUGUUAUAUAGCAGUGUUGGAAGAAGAUGAAUUUUUCAAAAAUUACUAGAAUAACAAACUAAUCCCAAUUCUUCCCUGCCUUCCUCAUUAAAAAAAAAAAAAAAAAAAAGUCUGAAAGGGUGGGCCUGCUAUUCCAGAAAUGGCAUUCUGCUCUCUAGUAUGUAAGGUGCAUUAAUGCACACAAGUAAUUUUGCCUGCCCUGAAAUUCUUCAGUGUGAUGAAAAUUUCAUCAGUAUUCUAAAAACAGUGAACUAUCUAGCCUGCUCAGUUAGUCAGCUUGCAUGUUUGUAUACAGAAAGGAUUUGCAGGUAUGACUUGUGUUUUCUCUCUGCUCCUGUUGGAUUUUUGUUGUUUUUGCCAUAAAUACUGUAUUUAGAAUUUAUGCUAUCUAAUCUCUGUUGUGCUUACAGGAGAUGUGAUUUCACUUAGAGAAGCUUUAACUACAGUUAAAGCUCUCUUAAAAGCCUUAUGAUUAUGCUAUCAUAAUAAACAGUUGGUUUAUUUUUAUUGGCACUAUGAAAAAAAUAUUUUCAAACAAAGCACAACAGGAACAGAAAAAGAUGAAAAAUUGGUAUCAGAAAAUUUACAUCAGAAGAAUUAUUAAUAUUUAAUUCAAGUAAAAGCUUUGCCAUUCCACGUGGGAAAAAUGCAUAGUUGUCUCUUUUUAUGUUAAAACCCACUUGUUCAUAAACUGACUCUACUGUGUAGGAGAUGAACUGUUACAUCCAGUCGAGUGCAUAUGUAAACUUUUCCAUCAGAAUUUUUACUUGAUUUGAGAUGCAUUUUUUUCUUUAGCUUUUGUGAGGAGCUCCAUGUAGACUUUGAGCAUGGUUUGGGUAUUGUCUUGGUGUGCUUGCUCUUCUGAUGUUUUUGAGUACUUGAAGGUUCUUGAACGUGGCAAAGCGGUGUAAGCACGAAUAAGCAACAUUAUCUAUUUCACCUGACAAAAUCCAAACUGAAGCAUUAGAUUGUGUAGCGGAACCUUUGCUGGUGGCACAUUGAGUUCAGCUCAGUCAGAAGGAGCACAUGCUGAUGAUUUUUCCUUGCUUGCACAAAGCCUGAAGGUGAAAGGUGGCUCACCAGACUGGCCAAGAAGGGCUAUCCAGUCCAGAAGGCAGCAAUACAUCAGGGAGUUAGCGAUCCAUGCAGCAGUUAGUGCAUGUAGGGCAGGCCUUUGUUGUGCUGUGCUGCACGUCCUGCACAGCCAUCACCCAUGUUGCACACACGUGCCUUGGACCCAGCCUAAUCUCCACCAGUGCCUUGUGGCAGGCAGGCUGCCCACAGCUUCUGCUUGGUGCCAGCCAUGAUGUCUCUUGCAUGGUCUCGUCUUUGCCUGAAGCUGCAGCAGUGAGUUGCUAUGUGGGUAUCCUGUUUAUUUGUAAGGAAAAAUAGAUUUUUUUCUUUUUUGAAGAAAGUCUUACAGGAGCUCCUGGGGACAAAACAGAGUAACCUUUCCAGGUGUGCUGUGCCCUGGUUGGAGGCCUGCUGCAUACUGUAUGGCUCAAGGUUCCCUGCAUCUAAAGGAACAAGGGUUAGUUAUAUUUUCCUAUUUCUUUAUAUAUAUUUUUCUUUGUGUUUUCCUUGUACAAGCUGCCUUUCAGAAUUUGCAGUUGGCUGAUCAGCCAGUUGAUAGCUUUUAAUUUUUAGGUAAGUUGAAAGGAUGAUGAUGAUGUUAUACGGAAGAAUUUCUGAUUGUAAUAAAUGAAGAAAACGUGAAAACAAUUGUUCCCAUCAGUGCUUGUUAAUAUGUAGUGAUCUCCUGUGUCUUUCCUUUUAUGUCUUCAUUCCCUCUCAUUCUUUUGCUGUGUAGAUAACUUUUUUACUUGAUCUUCGUGUACUUGCUUCUCUUCCUCUGGAUUAUUUUUUAGCCUAAUAUUGUGACUUUAUCUUUGUAAUCAGGAGUAAGGUUGUUUCCUGAAUAAAAUGCUGCGAUUUUCAUCAUACAUGCUUCUAGUUGAAAAAUCUUGUUUCUAGUAGUCAUAUCAUUAAUGACAAUGUGUUUUAUUGCCUUCUUUAAUCUUCACUGUGUUUCAGUCUUUUUGUUAACCUAAUGUUCACAGUUUUACAGUUGAAUUUCCAUUCAUGUGGUUUCUUCUCCUUCAUUCUAAUGUCAAACAGAAACGUAAAACUUCCUUAUUACAUACUCUGUGUUACUGAAACUGAAAUACAUGACUAUCUCAAAUGAAUCUUGAGUAGUUUCUGUGAAGCUCUUCUUUGGUCUGUUCAUUGAUGUUACUUUAUGAGACCACAGCAGAUCCAGAACAGGGUAAAAUCAAUGCUAGAUAAUUUCAGUUAGUCGUGGGAACGCUUUGGUCAGGAAAUAAAACUCAAAAUAAAAUAGCCACAGAAGUACUAUUUAUUGGAAAAGAAGCUGCUGGAAUUUUAGUGUACAUGUUCAGUGUUCUUGAACCUUGGCCUGUGUUGACUAUAUAAAUGUUGACUAUAUAAAUGACAUGCCAACACAGUUGUUGUUAGCUUCUAUAAGUGGACAUAAAAAAGUACUCCUCGACAUUAUGCCAAAUGUUAGUUUCACCAGUGAAAUGGUAUUUUGUUGUUGUUGUUGUUUUGGUGGCGGAAGGGUAAACAGAACUGUUUUCCUAUUAAUGCUUAAAUAUCUCCCAUAGGUUUAGUAGCUAAAUAAACUAUCUGCUUCUAUAUUGAAUUUUAAGGUUGAUUUUAAAAAUGGAACAUUAGCUGUGGAAACUGGAUUGACUGUGUGUCCUGUUGCUUCUUUGAAGAGAAGCAUAAGCCUAGAUUCUAUAAAACUCCCAGAUACAAACUUGGGAGGUGAUGUUUUAUAUAUCAUUUCCUUGGCAGCAGUGUUCAUUGAAAAUAUUCCGUCUAUCAUCACUGACUGCUUGUUUCCACUUCUGUGUCACCUCCUCAGCUGUCCUAGCAUAUCUGACAGGCAAUGUGCUGUGCAUGCAGGCCUGAAAAAAAUGUUGGAAGGAUGGUGGAAAAACCGUAACAUCUUAAACUGGUGUCAUCAGUAAAGACAGCAUGCCCUCGAGCUGCAGCCUUACUUCUGGAGGAUUUCUUGGUCUGUUGGUGGGGUAGAAAUAGAGAGCUAUGCUACUUAUUUUGGUUUUAAUUCUUUCAGAGUUUUGGGGCUCUGUGCUAGAAGUAGCCUUUGGAUAGCUAAGUCCUAUUUGUUUAUGGGUUUCCCAUGUCAUUCAAAGCCCCUCAAUAUCACUUUCAUCUGCUUAUCCAUCUGUGUGAAAUAUCUGUAUUAGAGGAUGGAUGAAGGGAGAGCAGAUUAAAAUAGAAUGAGAAAAAUGUUUUUCUGUAUGAUCAUGUUAGGACAUGCUUGUAAAAGUUUUUGUUCUACAGUGUCCUUGUUUAAAAACUUGAAUAUUAGCACAAGAAAUUAUUAAUGAAUAAAGCAGAAUGGAUGAAAAACUUUUAAUUAACAUAUAACCAGUUGUAUUAUAGCUAGCAUUUUGUAGUUUACAUUGAAAUAAAGAUUGAUUUUAAAUGAAUUCCUAAUUCACUAUAAUUAAAAUGCUCUGUUAAUAAAAAAGCAAGUUUCCUAAUGUUGUUUCUGUUCUUACAUUGCUUUUCACCACUAAAUUCAGUAAAUGCUUUGGGAGUGGGAAAAAGUCCAUUAUAGCCUGACUAAAUAUUUGUGUCUUGUAAGUGACUGUGAUUAUGAUGAAAGUGAUAUUUUAAUAGGCAGUUUUCUUACAUUUCUCUCUUUACACCACUUUCUGCUAGUACAUGCAUUAACUUGUUCAUAAUAUGUAUAUUAUAUUUUUGACUAUCAUGCUUAUAUGCUGCUUUGAAUAUAGGAAUUGUUCUCUUGAGAAGUAAGCAAAUGAAACCAGCCCCCUCAAAAACAAACAUUCUCCUCUAUUCUCCUUUGUGUCCUAGAUUAGGACUGACCAAUAUUUAGCCAUGCCUUUUUUUGUGUGUUUUUUUUUUUUUUUUACAAAGCCCCUGACGCUGUUAUGGUGUAGGUUUGUAUCAUCUGAGUUUCUUACUCUAGUUGUGUUGAGGUGAUGUUUAUAAGGAUCCUAUCAGUUCCUUUCUUUGAGAUCAUAUUAUUAGAAAAAACAAAAAUAAAAAAACCAACUGUGUAUGGUUUUAAAUAAAUUAAUUAUGCUAAAAAAUGGGAUUAACAGAAGUGGUCAAAUUUGUGCCAUCCUUUACACAAUGUUGGACUGAACUGUAAAUCAGCCAGUUACACCUGUUUAUGUACUCUGAAUCAUUUUGUGGAUUAUGUCAGAUGUUGAUGUGCCCUUGACAUCACUUUGGUGCCUGAGCUAAACCCUUGGAGAUGAUAGCAUUAGAGCAGUGUCAGUUUUGUCAUUUGGAAACCUUCCUCAGUCAAAUUGCAGUCUGAAUAGAGUCCAAUACUACAUAGAUAUCUUUAAAACUUAGGUUUAACCUUCAAAGAUUACGGAAGGAUAACAGAAUAAUUUUGUUUCAUUCAAAAAUCAAUUUAAAUAUUGAUAAUUUUUUUAAGGACAGCUUGAAGGAAGGGAAUAUUUGGAGCAACGUGCUGCUAUAGUUAGCAAUCUCAGCAUGGUUCUUGAUAUACCUUGCGCUUAUCUCCUCAUAUUAUGGUAGCUAAUUUAAAAGAUGAAAGAUGUCUUGAUAGGACUCAUUUUGCAGCAGUAUUAAGCAGUAUAAUGUUAAGAAAAAAUAAAAUAUUAUCACGUUUUUGCACUUAAGAUCUCUUAACAUCAACAUUUUCAUUAAGUGUUGGUUAAAAUCAUUAUCUGCUUCUAGAAUAAGGAAAAUGUUUUCUUCUUGAUAAAAUAGUGCUUUUUUAUAACUUUCUGAUAUCUUGUAAUGGAAAGAUUAUAACCUUUCAGCAGAAGGAAAAACCUGAAAGCUUUGUGUUGUGUGUUUUUUUUUUUUUUGUCCAAUAAACUUUUUUUUUUUUUUUUUUUGAGAAGAAAUGAUCACAGAUAUUUGCUGUACAGCCAGUCCUGUUGCGUGAAUUAAUGACACAGUUUCUGCUGUGGUACAUGCACUGAAGUCAAAUGCAGUGGAGACACUUUCAUUCCUAUCAUCUCCUCCUGCUUCCAUGUAGAGUACUGAUUUUUGUUAGAGGUACUGUGAUGAUCUAAGUUGAGUAUGUUAAUGGAUAUGCACUUUGGAUUUGUUUAAAUAUGCUUCAUUGAUAAAAGUAUGCAUUUAAUGUAAUGGCUGACACCAAAUUGUACUGAACAACACCAGUUGUACUGAACAGUAUUUUCAUACUCAGUGACUGUGCAAGUGCUGAAGUAACACUUUCUGAAGUCUUGGAAGAAAUUCUACCAUACUUUGUAAUCUAUUUCUGGUCUUAAGCAAAACAAAUAGGCUCAUCUGAUUCUCACUCCCAAAGGUGUCUGCAUUAAUUAGAGGAAUAGUGAUGGGGCGGGAGUGGCAGGAAAGAGGAAGAUUAUUUAGCGUGUGGACAUUGAGCUCUGUUAUUUCAGAUGAAAGGUCUCAGAAAACUCUUCUUGUUUAGGUUCUUGCUAAAAAGAGAGAUCUCAGUGCAUUAAAUUAGCAAAUAUGUUCCAGAAUGGCUUGCAAAAAAACAUCACCCAUCUUGGAGUUAGCAUUUAACUGCCAAUUUGCAGCGUCUUUGAAACUUGUCAAAUAAGCUUCACGAGCAAAGCCUGACAGAGUUGCACUGCACCAUGCCAUCAGUUCUUAGUUUUAUUCCAUCCAACAACACAAUUAGAAAGGCCACACAUAUUAAUCUAGAAGGUAAUUAAUAUAAUCAUUCACAACUGAUCCUUUGCUGGCUCUGCAAAAUCCGUGAGCAGUUAUAACAUGCACACAGCAUGAAUGACUUCAGUGAAACCAUGAAGUGCCUGCCUGGUACAAGUGGAGAUUCUUUUUGGCUAGAUUCUUUGCUGAAUACAAGCCACUUAAAAUGUUAAAGCACUGAAAAAUAUCUAUAUGCUUCAACUUGCCUUUUUGCUUAAUAUAGUCUUUAUGGAAUUCCUUUAUUUGUGAUGACCUUGCUUUUUACUGGCUCUAAAUUCUGCCUCUAUGAGCUUUUCAGUUAAAUUUAUGUUAAGUUGAUUAAGAGGCAGAGUUACUGUUUGGUAUUGUCUGUUGUCACUAUCUGGUCUUGCCUCCUAUCAUCCGCAGUGUAAAGCAAGACCAUGUCAUUAAGGGCUGACUGUGUGACACUCAGUGGGGAAAAAAGCAAAUAGAAAGAGGGAGAAGGCAGAAUGGUGGUGCAGAUGUUAAGCUGGUUAUUUCACUGGAGGUUUUUACAUUUCUCUAUCGUAUUGCUUCUGUAGUUUGACUUCUCUUUGUGCUGAGUAUUUAGCCAUACUGUUAUAGGUUUACAUUUGGAAAUAACAGUAAAGAAAAGAAACCUCCAAUUAAACUAGGCUUUUUUUUUUCUUCCAGAAAACUUCUUUUGUUUUCUGCCGUGGCAAUGUUUUUGUAAUUAUUAUUUUAUUCUUAAAGUUGUAAAACAUUUAGGUUAGUUUAGAAUAAAUAUUGAUAAUACAAAAUGUUGAACUAUGUCCUGAAAAAUACACUAGUUGGAGAAACUAGUAGUUUCAGUUUUUACUGAAAGUCUAUGGUAACAACAGGUGAUUAACUGAACCGAAAUGAUGGGCUACAGACCCUUUUUACUUUUAAAGCCUUUUUACCUUUAGGCUGUAUUCUCUAAUAAAUAUAUCUAUGUAAUUGUAGUAAUUAAAAGCUCUUUGUAAUCUCAGUUCUAAGAGUAGAGCUUUAGCCUAAUUGUUUGAUGAACAGAUGGAAAAUUUUCUUGAUCUUAAGUGAUUACUGUAGCCUGGCCAUUCUCUGAGUCUUAGCAAAAAGACCAGUGCAUAUUCUGUUUCUUGUAGUCAGCACUAAACUAGUGUGUGACAGAUGUAUGUGUUGCAUACUGGAUUAACCCAUCACUGAUAUGCCUGUCCUGAGAACAGAAAGCAGUAAAUUUCAGGUUGUUGAGUGGUUUCCACAUACCAUGAGCCCAGCUCUUUCUCCCAUUUCAGUAGGAGCACACCUGCAUUUAGCUGAUGGUAUUUCUUCAUCUCUUGCUUGAAACAGGCAACUACUCUCAUUCAAGGAAAGAAGUACUCAGAAACAGUAUUGAGGAAGCAAACUGAAGUAGAACUGAAGUAAAUAAAAGCAUGUCAAUUUUGAGACUGUUUUUUCAUGAUGUGAACUGAUGCAUUUUUGAUGAAUUGCAUGCAAAAUUGUACAAAAUUUGCGUUUUAACAUGCAGAAUUCUGAAGUAUCAGCUCUGUAGCAAGUAUUGAUCUUCUCUGAAGAGUAACUUUGAACGUCUUCAAGUGAAGUAUUUUUAAAAAAGUGUUUUUGUGAGUGAAAAUAUUUAAUUACAUAAACUUCUGUUAGAAAAAAUGGAAUUUCUUUUUUUGUUGUUAAUAUUUUUGUGGUAUAUCCAUAAACUUUCUGCUUUUCUCUUCUGUCAUUCUAAUGAUACAUUAUUUGAGACAGCGAAGUGCAUAGUCUUUGUAACUGAGAUGACUUCAGGGUAUCCAGGUAUUGAGUCUAUUUUAAAUGGGUGUGGUAAUUCUUUUUAAUUGGGGUACUUGUGAUUUUGUAAUGCUUCUUAUUUGUCUGUGCCAAUCUAGUUCUUUGCUUCUUAGGAAGUAAUUUUCUGCUUUGAAGUGCUACCCUAAUCUUGUAGGCAACCAUACUAAGUACGCUUCUGCUUGUGGGCCAGGUCCUAUGGUAGUGUAAGUGAUUCUGUAAGUGCUGAAUAAGAUAUAAUCCUCCUUGUCCUCUUUAUAAUGCUCUGGUACUGCAAACUGACAGCCCAACUUCCUUCUUGGAUUUGCCCCAAGGUAGAGCCUUGUGGAGUGGUGCCCAACCUUCUCCUAAGUUCUGUAUUUUGCCUUUGGGAGACAGGUGUGGAUUUUACCUAUACAAAGGCACAGCAAUAUUUGACUUCCAAGUUUAAGAUGAACCUACCCCCAUCUGAGCCAGUCCUGGGAACACAGUAAUUUUUUAAUGAAAAAUAAAUUAAAAUAAAGAUAAAUCUUUAUAUAGAUGCAUUUCUUCUAAUAGUACUCAUCUUCAUGAAAAUCUAUCAUAACCUAAAAUAUAAAAUUAUAUAUACAAUGUAUAUGUAACAUUAUAUUAUAUAAAAACACACAGGAUCCUUGUAUGGCAAUCCACAUUCUAAGAAGUAAUAGAACUCAAGUUAAAUAAGCCCUAGUUGACUGUCUUUGGACUCUUUGCUUGGGUAUGCGUAGUGAGGCUGUAUGUGUGUUGUUUCGUUCAGAAUGUGGAUAUAUAAAGUAUAUACAUGGAAUAAAAUAUAGAAAAUAAGUUUUCUUUCAGAAGUUCAUUCAUUUGCUUUAUUCUCUUAAGAUGAACUCAAACCUCGUGGUUACUUAGCUAAAUUAUAUAAUGAAGAAUAAUGAAACUUUGAAAUGAUCAUGCACGCCUUUACUGUAAUUGGGAGCAUUGCUAUUAAUGCUUUCUUUAUCUAUAAUUCAGUUGUUUGGAAUACCUUUUAUUUACAAGGGCUCUCCCGUAAUUAUCCUUUGAUGUACAGAUGUAAGUAUACUUUUCUAGAAGUAUUAAUAAAUAUUUGCUUGACAUUUGGUCUCAUUGAUCUUUAAUCAGUUCUUCAGUGAUAACUGAAGUUAUAAUGUUGAAGAAACUUCCUUUUUAUAUAAGAUGUGAGUACUGUUUUUAUUUCAUUUGUAUGUCUUAAAGAUUCUUUGCCAUGUCAUUUAUUUCAUUUGACUUAACCAUUAGAGAAGAUUAAAGGUGGCUUAUUUCUUAGACGUUUGCUUAACAAAGAAUGAUUUUUAAAACAUCUGUGCAAAAACAUACAUCUUCCUGCUUUCUUAUCAGUAAAUGCAGCUGUUCCUGUUUUUAAAAAUCAGAUGCAUGUGAUAAUGUGGAGUAGCAAUGUUUGAAGGCUUCAUUUUCUGAUAUCUAAGACAUUUCUUUUUGCUGAACUUGACAGGCUAAAUAAGAAAAAUAAAUUUACAUUUAAGCCUGAUUUUUAUUUUUAUUUUUUUCUCUGAACAGUAUCAAAACUUGUAACCAAUGUGAUCUGCUAAGUCAGCUGCAGUUUCUCAUCACAUUUCCUGAGAUAAGGAAGACAAAUUCUUUUAUAAUUUUAGUAGUGUUAAGUUGUAUAUAAUAAUUCAGCUGCUUAUAUGAUUUAAAAUCUCUACAAAAUUUAUAAAUCUAAAAAAAUAUUUAAAUAAUAUAAAUUACUGGUAAUAUAAGACAAGUAACUUCUACUCUUGACAAGACAGAUGCAACCAAAAAAUCCAAGCACAAAUUGUUUUUUUUUGUGUGUUCGUUCAUCACUGUUUGUAUUGACAUAUCUGUGCAAGUGAAACAGGAAUCAUCCUUGUUGACACAAAUAAAUGUUCAAAUCUGUUUGCAAAAUGUUAUUACUAUUUUAAGUAGCUACAUUAGAGGUUUGCCCUGCCCUUUUUACAGUUCAUUUCAGUUUUGCUUGGUUCCUUUGUUUUUGAGCCAAAUGAUGUGAUGUGGACAUUAGUCUUUUAGAAUGGAUAAACACAUUUAAGAAGGGGAGCCACAAAUCCUUGUCUCAUGGGAAUCUCUUUCUGGCCAAAACCACACAAACUAAUGACAGUGUACGUCUUUUCAUCUAGAAGCUCUCUCAAAUGGUCAUAACAUGUUAUGGAUAAAUUACAGCCAUCUUAUUAAUAGUAGGGUGAAGUCUUAUUGGCCUGGUCAUGUGUAUUUCAUCAUCUGAGCACAUAAACAUAACUUCUGUUGUAGUGUCAGUAUUAUUAUUAUUAUUUUUUUAAUGUACUGGUUCUUUAAAUGUUUCAAGAUUAUGGAUGGCUGCAAGGUUACUGCUUCAUAGAACCACUCCAAUGUUAUUUUUACUUGCUUUUUUUCAUUAGUGACUGUAUAGAGCAACUUGCGUGGUUUCUUGUUUCCUUCAUUUGCUCAUUGCUUAAGGCCCCACACUGAAGUUUCAAGCCAACGUGAUCACGCUUUCUGCAAGAUCUGACUGAACCCUUCCUGGACAUUUGUUUCUCUUUUCUAGAUGACUCUUAUAUGUUUCAAUCAGAUGGUGUUGUAAGGAAAUCUGAGGACACUCAACUUGAAAACUGAGAGAGCCAAGUAAAGCAGAUGCAUGCUUAAAAACCCAAAUAUUAUACACUUGUAUUUUUGUCCACACAAAGAGUACAGGUCUUUAAAAGAUGUUAGCCAAACCGACAGGUGUCUUGACGGUGCUGACCAUACACACACACGUGCACACUAACUAAAAAAACCCUAGACAUUAAUUAUAGCACUCUUUGUGAGGAAAUUAAAGGGCUGUACAGGUUUAGUUUCAGUAGUUAGGAAGCCCUUUAGCUGUUGCAAAAACAUAAAUAGAUAAUCUUGGAUGUGGCAAAUGUUCAACUUAAGCUAGAAUGGCUUGCAUUGCCCUCAAAUGAAAUAAGUCUAUACUGCAAUUGCAGGAAGUCUGUUUCACAAAUAUAGUGGUAUUAAUCACAAGAUAUAACAUAUUCUUCUUGCUUCUUUCUAGACUCCUUUAUAUUAUCUCCUUUAUUGUUUCUUGUAGGAGCUCAUUUUUUGAUUUAAUACCUUAGAAAAAAACUAUGUCUUACUCAGGUGGUUCACCUUGAGAUUUGAUGAGAAGCAGGCUGGCUGCUUCGUUUCUAUCACCCAUAAAUUCUUGCUUCGCAAAAUCUGUCUCAUACAAUGGGGCUAAAAUCAGGGGCAAAAUCAAAAUACUAUUUUCAAAUAUACAGUUUUUUUAUUUUAGCAGCUAUAAGAUAUAUCUUGUUGACUGCUGUGUCAGAUUCCAUCACUAAUAAAAUUAUUAGUGAAAGAUUGGAUUUACAUCCCUACUUCCCAAAACAGAUUGGUUGUACAGAUUGAGUUCAGCAUACAAAAGGCCUGUGAGGAAAACAUUUAUUCUUGUGUUCAUAUUUGCUUUAAUCAGGUUUUUCACAUCAUCUAUUCUUCUUCUUAGUGAGGAAAAAAAAUAAAAGAAUUUAUUUAUUUGCUAUAGCGUAAGAUAUAUUUUUUUCAUUGUUUUGUUGUACCACUAAAGGUCCUCUAUCUCAGGUCAGAUUCCCACAGUCCUAGAACUUGAAAGCAAUAGAACUUGCAGCAUAGAACUAGAAAUCUUUACUCUGAAAAAUGCAUUAUUCCAAAGAAUGAUUAGGAUGCUUAUAUAUAGUCAUUUUCACUCUAGAAACAUGAGCUUGAUAAGGUGAUUUUCUGUCUAAAUGAGACCAAGUUAGAGAAAUAAGAGUGGCAGAAGGUUUAUGUGAAGGUGUUUAGUAGCAGAUCUCUUGGGAGGGAUAGAAGAAGAUAAAACUGUACUCCUUUCUCCAGGUAAUUCUUAUAAUUAAAGUCUAAUAUAUUUUUAGGGGCAAAGACUUACAGCUUUAAAACUCUAUAUUUGGGAUGGUUUAAAACUGAGUACAAGUACAUGACACAACUUUAGCCAUCAUUUACCUGUUAGGAAUGUGCUAUUGAAUAUUCAUCUUUACUGAGAUUGGAUAAGAAAUUAUUUUUAUCUAUUUUUUAAUAUCACAUAAAUUGUGUACGCGUGUGUGUUAAAAUCUUAUAUUUCCUUUAGAGCAGAAUGUUCUAUGCAAAACUUCUAAAACCAGGUAUAAAAUGGAUAAUUCACGCUAAACCUCUAAACAAACACUCUUUUUUUCCUGAUGGAUGAGAAGAGGAAGGCAGAAACUUUUGUCAACACCUGAAAAUUGACAGCUAAAUAAAAACAGACUGACAUACGUGUGCAAGAAAGGGGAUAAAAAAUGCUUAAGUCAAAAUACCUUUACUGACAAUCUUUAAAAUGCCUCUUUGGAAAAAAGUAUAUAACAUCGCAUACUUUAUGAUCUGAAAUGGUUUAGGGUAUUGCCGUAUCACAAAAAUAUACUACAAUAAAAAUAAUUAAAGAAAAGUUAUGUAUUGAAAUAUAAGUCCAAAUAUUUGACCAACCUCUUCAAUUCUGCUUUCUAGGGUUUCCUGCGGUGUUGGUGCUUAAAUGGUAGUUCCAAAUUAAAGAAAUGCUGGAUAUUACAAUAUGUUAAUUACUGUGUUAUGAAAGAUGUACAUUCCACUUUUAGCAGCAUUUUCUACAGCUGUCUUCCAGUACUAAUAUGUUUACCUGUAUCGGUUUAUUCUAGAAGUCUUUGUUAUUUAUCUUAUUUUUAUGAAGUAAUUUUAUUUUUAUUAAUAUAAGUAAUAGAAGACUUUGGCAACUAGAUUCACAACAGACAUGCUGUCUAUUUUCUCUUCUUCGUUUAUUUUCCUCUUGUUAAAGUCAUCAAAAUGUUGACAGCUGCAUAACUCUUUUUAAAGCUUUCAUAUCUUGACAGAUAUUACAGAUAUUUGUCAUUUUACUUACAGUAAGUGACAGCUAAAUUAGCUUUAUGCUGUAUUGGAGGAUAUCUCAGAUGUAGUGAGUCCAGUCAAAUUUAUAUUGCAUUUCUUUAAUGUGCAGCUGAUUUUCAAGUGGUUAUUAAGGAAUGAACAGCAAAGAGAUACAUGAAGAAUGUGAAAAUCUUGAGCUAGCAGAUAUUCAAGGUUAACAGAUGAGAAAUAUGUUCCCCUUUUAUUACUUCUAUCAUGUUGGAUAGUCUAGUUUUUCCUUCAUUUUUACUUCUUAUUUCAGUUAGAUGUGGGGUUGAAGAUCUAUACAUUAAUCCUUCUUUAAUAGAUAGCCACUUCCCAGCUGAGCUUUUAAGGCUGCCAGCAGAGUGUAGGUGUUUGUAGGUCACACCAGAAGCUGCUGAGUGGAACGCUGCUGGUACAGUAGUCCUGCACCUACCCACCAUGUAUAUAGUAAAAUAUAGUUUAUUUCUUAACUCAUUGUAGUAUAUAUGCUUUUCAGAGCAUGUACAUUUCUGUUUCAAAAGCUCAAGUCAAAUUAAGAAUGGGAAGAGAACAAACAGAACAGAAUGGGAAAAAAUCUUUUUUUCUGUCAAAUUAUUCAAUAAUGUCUGUACUUUUUUUUUUGCUACACAUAAAUACAAAGCACAAUUAAAAAUAUUGUGGUGUAUCUUUAGAGUAUUACACUAGGAAUGUCUGCAAAAAAAGAGUCUUUCUUUGGCAGGAGGGAGAGAGUGGGGAGGAGGGAAGAAAAGUAAAGAAAAACUUGUUGCUAUUUAUCUAGAUAGCUUAAUUACACAGUUAAGUGUUUCUUACAAUUGUCUGUUGAAAUUGCUGUCAGAAGUGGAAGUUUUGUAGUAUGAUAUUUUCACAUUUUAGUAUGUUCAAUGUAGUGCUAAUGAUAGCGAGACUUUCAAAUUACUGUUAAUGUAUCAAAGAUGAAUUAUACGUGUUCAGUGUGUUAACCUUCUCUUUUCUGUUACUGCUGCCUUACUCUUGGGAAUCCCAGCAGUGUUAGAAACAAGCCACUUCAGAGUCAAACUUACCUUAGAUCAAAGUAGAGGAAAGUGAAACAAAACACCAGAAUUGUAAGAGAGUAAAUGAUUUAAUAGUGUAAUAUAUUUUAAAUACCAUUUCUUACUAACUUCAAAAAAUUUUGGAAGAGUGAAAAGUAUUAUCAUUUUAUUUAUUUAUUUAUUCAUUUAUUCGGUUUUCCUUUAAGUGUGGAUUUUUCUAGCUUUUCAUGUAGGCGUAGUGUUUUCUGUAAAUUAGUCAUGCUUAGGUGGGCUGAAGUUUAAGUUAAGCAAUAUAGUUUUUUGUUAUAGGACCACCAAAGCAGGGGCUGUGUGUGUAUAUGCACCACUUCACUUGCUAAGGAUAGCAAAACAAAGAGUGUUGAGUGAAAAAAUUAUUUUUUGUGAUUACACUGGAUACUGGCCUGCUUCAGAUGCUGGGUUAAAUCUGUUCUUCCUGGAGCUGAUGGUGAAGCUCCUACUGACCUCUCAGGGAACAGAGGAAGGUUUACAGCAUUGUUGUAGGGAGUAGUAUCUUAAAUAGAAUAUUGCUUUCCAUUCUGUUUAAAGAUAUUUUCUUUCAUUAUUACUGGUAUGUGUCACGGAGUAAUAUUUAUUGAUGUAGAAUUUCUUGAGUAGGUCUCUAAAGUGAAGACAAUGCUGAAACUAAUGGACACUUGUAAGAGGUUUCUCUCUCCAUCUGAAAAAAAGGUUUGCUUUAUAAAAAAUGGGGAUGGUCCUAUGCUAUAAACCUUUAUCUGCUUCACUGAAGGUAGGCAUUUCACACUAUUCUGAAUGCUGAAUCACUACAGCCAGUGAUUCUAACUAUCAGUAAAUACUAGAAUUUGUUGCACUUCACACCAGUGUUUCCUUUCUUGUUCUUGAGCAGGAACUUUCUGUAGUCCACAAAAAUUAUAUUGCUUAUUUAUCUCUCUCUGAAAACAAUAAUAGGCCUAUUCAGAUUUUAUCUGUAGCUUUACUUUGUGUUGGGCUGUAUUUGCAAUACUGUCAUAAACUACACUAAAGUACUGUUUCCUUGGCUGUAGAGAUAGAGUAAAUAUUCAGCAGGAAUACGCAAACAGAACAUGCAGAUUGUUUAGCGUGGGUUAAAUGUGCACCUAUCUGGAACGUAACUAUAUUAAUAUUACAUCUUACAGAUUUGGCAGGUGUUUUAAGAGUACAGUAUUUCAACAUAGGUUUUAUAGAAACUUGCUGCAGAACUGGACGGGAUUAAUAAUGGAUGAGAUAUAUCACACUUAGUACAGUAUUAAAUUCUAGCAGUGGAAGGAUGCAAACCAGUUCAUAACCUUACAAGAACAUUGUGUGCUACAGUAAUCUUGGUGAUACUGUACAGUCAAAUUAACAAUGAAUAAAUGUUGAACUCUGCUUUCUGUCAGAAACUGUACUCAUGCAGUCUCUUGUCAGUCUUUAUGCAUGUUGUCCUAAGCAGGUCACUGGUAAAGUCAUAAUAUAAAAAGGUGUAGUGGAUUAUUCUGGCUGCAUAACAUGCUGUAAAUACAGAGCUAUGGGCCUUAAACUGGCAAUUUUGCUUGUUUCAGUUCUUGGGUGAGCAACUUGAGAACGGAGGUGUGCGUGUGUAAGAGUGCGGGAGUGCCUCCCUCCUGAACAUCUCUGUUUACCAAAAUUAUAUUAGAAUGGAAGGCUGAAAUAAAUAUCAUUCUUAGCCAGCAGGCAGUUGAUUCAAUAUAGGCUUUUUAUUCCAGAUGUGACAGAAAGAGGAGGCAAGACACCAGGGGACAUACCUUGUAGGGCUACAGCUUUUACCAUAAAGCACAUCUGAGAUCUAUCAAUCAGUAGCUUUCCUUGUGCAGAUUGUGCUUCCUUUGUACUUCUACACUACUUUACUGAAGAUUUCUGUCACCAUUUGUCAGCUGGGAGGAUACUGUCAGUCCCCACCUUCUCUCAUUCCAAGGGAUACCAAGCAUCCGUUCUUAGGAACCUUAUCGCCUUUCUUUGAGAUGUUUGGUGAUGUAUUGGGGAGAAAUGGUUUUCCUCUCUCUGUAUAAGCUAAUAGGUCUUCUGUCACUUCCAAUUUGAACUACCACGGCAUCAGAAACUGUUACUUUAUGUUUUCUCCUCUGGAAAGCAAAACAGAAAUGAAUUAGACUCUUUCAAGGUGCAGCAGAAUGAAUUUUGAAAUGUAAAACACUCUUCUCUGAAUAGAACAGUUAUUACAAAAGACUUUGCCUUGGCCAAUCAAAGUAUUGCUCUUUGGAGAUGAGGGUAAAAUACUUUGUGUUUACUGUAAUACCUGUAUCCCUACAGAACUUGAUCUUAUACAGUGGGUUUUUUUGUUUGUUUGUUUGGUUGGUUUGUUUGUUUUUUUUUCUCUUUUUAAAGAGCAGGGUGUUGUAGCUGUAAGCAUAAUGAACCUACAUCUUUUUGUAGACAUGCAGAUGUCGCUAACUUUUUGCAACUCAGUAUCUUCUCUGUAGGCCCACAGAACCAAAGGCCUCUCCUUGAGCUUCUGUAAGCUGGUUGGGGUAGGGACAAGAUUUGUCUUUUUGGUUAUCUAAACUAAGGACAAAUUAGAAUGAACCAUGUGCUUUGAAGAACUCAGUGUCUACUCACGUGGUUAUUCAAAUCACUUAUUUCCACAACAAAAUACACAUGGUUUUGAAAAGUAGAUCACCCAUUGUGGAGUUGAAAAAACAUUUGAAUAUAAUGAUAUAAUGACUCUCAAAAAAAUUGUAUUUAUUGUUUAUUGCUGUGUGAAGACUGAGGUUUUGUGCUGUAGAUUCUGAUUGCUGGGUCUCAGAACUGGAUAACCUCCUGUAGGGUAUUUGAAGGAAUUUGUUACAGUUUCCUUUUUUAAGCAGACAUCUGAAACUCUGAGAGGAAAGUUGCGGGCACUGAUACCUUACAGGCUUAUAUUAAGAGUUAAAAAAGUAAAUGUUGGAGUGAAGGUUUUAGCUCUCUGCAUUUGCUCCAUAAUCAAAAUGCAAUCCAAGCUAGUAAAUGCCUGAAAUAUGAUUGUUAUAGGCUGCUCUGAAUUUUUAUUAGGCAUUAUGAAAUAUUUGUUUUAACUUUGAAGAGUACAUCAAUUAAAAAGUGAUGGUGCCUCAGAGAAAUGUUUACAAUAAAUGCCAAGUGGCUGAGCUGGCCUCUUGUUAUUUGAAGGGUUAGUUCUGAGGAGGGAUUAUAAAGUAUGUUGGUGAGGAAAUGUGGAAGAAAUUUACUGAAUUCUUGCUAUCUUCACAGGUAAAGGCUUUUAUCUCCAGGACUCCUAUUCUUGUUAGUACUAUACUUGCAGAUCUCAAUCAAAGUCAAAGUCUUAGGCAGCACUUUAUGAUAAAACUAUAUAUUUCAUAGAGUGAUACGUAAUCUGAAUGACAGUUAAAAUCUGGAGAAAUUAAUACCAUCUUCACUAUACAUAGCGAUAUUCAUGGGUUAUUGGGUUAUUCCUAGUCAUUUAAAAUGCUGCCUAGUCUCUGAAUUGUGUUACCAAGCUACCUCUUGAAUAAAUAAAGAAUAAAGAAUAAUGCAUUUUUUUUUUUUUUAAAGGUAGAAGUUCUGAAAAAAAGGUAGAAUUUUCUUGUUUGUUUGUCCCAAUUCAAGAUGGAUCUUGCUUGGAUAUACAGUUUGAAAACGUAUGUUUUAAAGACUGGUACUACUUGGAAAAGGAAUUAAAAUAAAAUUUGUGACUCUUUCUGCCAGGCUUCCACCUUGUGAUUGUUGCAACACAGUGAAAUCAAGAAACUGCUAAGAAUGGUCUUGUACCCUGCAGUCCCAAAAAUGCUGUUUUGUUUUUAAAGCUACAGUUGCUUAGCAGGCAAAGAUGCUAAAAGAUGUAUUGUUAUUCUGAAAUAGUUUUUGCUCAGAGUAUAAAUACAUAUUUUGUAUAUAUAUUUAAUGUUAGUUAAUGAUAUUUUGUUCUGAAAUCAGUAAACAAUAGUUUGAAACCUUGUCAAUGUUUGCAUGGGGUAAUUGUCAUUUGUACUUCAUUGCCAAAGUAGAUCUAAAAUAUUAUUCCUGAAAUCUUUACACUUCUUCAUAUCUCCCUUGCAGUCACAUUUAGAGUUUUUUUUAUAUUUUUAAGUAUAACUGUUCUCUUUUUGCCUUAGAUUUUUAUUAGUUUAUCUUUUUUUUUUUUUUUUUUCCUACUAGUUACACCAGUCACUUAAAUUUCAUUCUUUAUAUUCUCCUGGAGUCCAAAAUAAUGCAUGCUUAUCUAGUCAGACCUAAAAGCUAGUUCAGCCCUGCCCUGUUUCUGUGAUCAUUACAGUACGUAUAAUGAUACCCAUAAAUAUAAAGAAAUCCUUAGACACUUUUGCUGGACGAAUCUGCGUGAAAGCAUUUCUACUGUCAAUAUAUUUUUCUUGUUAUAGAUGUAAAACCUUUCACGUUUGCUAGUUGGUUUGUGUAAUGGGAAAGUCCCUUAGCCCUUCAUGAUGCAAGUGAUUUCUUUUUUCCUGACAUCCAAAGGUGUUAAGACAAAUCCUGGAUUUUCUCUCCAGACACUUGCUCUCUGAGCAUGCUGGCAAAGCCUUCUAAGCAAUUGAGAGUGUGAAUGUAACUGGGUGAUAUCAGGAGCUGGGAUUGGAAUUCCUUGGAUGGGAAUCUCCAGAAGAUUGUUUCUCUAACGUCUGUAUAAAUAGGAGUAUUCAUGGAUAAAUUCUGUGUAAGUGAAUAAAAGAGGAAAAAAUAUAGGUAGUUGGCAGAAAAAGAACUGUGAAAAAAAUGAGUUGCUAUUAUUUUUAGAAAUUAAAAGGAAGGAAGAGUUUCUUAAUGGGUCUUUCCUGUUGCUGACCUACUCUGUUGCUUGUAUUCAAUAUACUAAUCACAGAUAUCAUGUCCUUUAUCAAGAUAUGGAAUUCUUGUAUCUUCCACUACGUCUGUACCUGAGGUUUUGAUGUCUCGGACUGUUCCAGAGCUGUAUGUAGUACGUCUUUACAACUAUUGUAGGUAACAGUUUUCUCAUCUAUCUUUUCCUUCUUCUUCAAUUGUAUGUCUUCAUUUUCAGUUUUCAGAUCAAAUCUUUGUUUUCUUACAGACUCUGAAAUAUCUUUUUUUUUUGAGGGGGGGGGAAGGGAGCGGUUAUGGGUUUAUUUAACUUGUUUAAAUUGAACUUAAUUUUAUAAUAAUUCUAGGGUAGCUGCACGUUCAGUGGUGAGGGUUGGCAGCUUUUCCCCGUUCCCUCUCAAAUUAAAAGCUAGAGCUGAAACCUCACAGACAACUGCUCUGCAGGAAUAAUUCUAUGCAAGAAUCAGUGUGACACACUAGCUCACUGUCAAGCUAGACUGAAGAAUUUUGGACAUCUUAACUCUUUCUCCAGAACUGCUGUUCUGCUCUUUUUGUCUUUGUACACUUGUCAGAGUUCUUUUGAUACCUUGUCUUCGGCCUUUUUGCACUUUCAUUGUCUCAAGAAUACUUGUUGUCAAGCGGCAGCUUAUCUUCAGCUCUCCUCUGUUUUGUUGGUAUUUUAUUCUCAACAGCCUGCAAUUAAACUUAUCCUGUACAGUCAAAUAGUGACUAACUCACAGAACGGUGUAGUAGCAGUAUUUGCAAAUUCUGCCAAGGCACUCCUGAAGUGGAGAAGGUGGAUCACAAAAAUAGGAUCAAGUGCAGUCUGUGCUGCCGGUGUCCUUGAUGCUUGCUAUGGAACAUCAGGUCAAAGAUGCCAUCUGAAAUAGCACUCUGCAUUCUGUUGCAGAGGAGGAAGACCAAGGUGGAAAACGACGACGUAGGGAAAUUGGCGUGCAAUAUCAUAAUAUUGGUACUUCUGUAUAACUUAACAGUGUGUGAUUCUAACAAAAUAGUUGAAAAAAUAAAUUGUGAGAACUUAGCAAAUAAGCGCCUGUGCAAGUUCAUGUACCUCCAACUACCAUACUUCACAGUCACAUAAAAACCCAUGUUGUUCCAAAGGAAUGGUAUUGUCUGCUUGAAUGGUCUAUUCCAUUCUCCAUCAUAAAAUCUAGCAUUUUCAGUUGUCUUUAAAGAAGUGGCCAUGUCUAUAAUCUAUUUUUUUAUUUUUAUUUUUUACAUGUAUGAUGCCAUUUUAAAUUUCUGUGUAGUCCUUAGGCCACAGGUCUAUUUGUGGCUAAAGGAUAUUCUGCUCUUGAUGUCAAGACUGUCCAUGAAGUAAAUCUGUAUAUACUUUAAGUGGGCUUUAAGGACUAGAUUAAAGUGCUUGAUAGGAAAUGGUAGUGAAAUUGUACUUUGGACUGAUGUUAUUCUCUGAGACACUGCUUUGGAAGGCAAUUUAAUGGUCACAGAUGUUUUGAUAACUUAAGAUUCUGUGUAUCUUUCAUGAACAUCGCUUAGUGAAUCAGAAUUACAGAACCUGUUUGUGUUUUCUCUAGAUGGGCAGUGUCUUAUCUGAGUUCUGUUAGUUCUUCUGGAGGCAUAUAACAUAGCUGAAAAUAUUUAUUAGGCUAAUGCACAUCGAGUCUUGUGUUAGCUGACUAGGUGUGGUCUAGGUGUGGUCUAGAUUCCCACUUGUUUGUUUGUUUGUUGGUCAAAAGUUUCAUCCAAAACAUCGUGCCUUCUGAGUGCAGGAUGAACAGUUGAUGACGUUAUGUUCUUAGUGUGCUAUAAAAGCAAUAUAUCAGUGCUUCCAGAAGUCAAACAAGAACAAUGCCCGCACUGUACCUUUCUGCAUUAAAAAUAAUGCUGGGAAAAUAUCUAAAUUAGAAGGCCCUUUGUUCCAAUUAUGUAUAUGGAAAAAUGGGUCAGAAAUGGAACACCUCUCUUGCAAAAUCAUCAUGGAAGUGAACAAAUUAUCUGUUUGGAGAAUUGUAUUACAUUACCUUACAUUUCUGCAUUCUGUAUUGCAUUCAUUAGGAAGGCGUACUGUCAUAUCGAAAGCCUCUAAAGUUAUAAAGCAUAGCAAAUAUUUCAUUUCUUGGGAAGUACAAAUAAGCAACAUAGUCCUCACAGAUUAUGUUGUGUUUAGCAAUUCAUUUUUAGAAAUUUUCCAAGUUAAAAAUGACUGCAUUAAGUAUUUGCUGAUUAUCAUAACUGGGAACAAAUGGGUUGCUUAUGUUUUGGCGCGUAUUUUGUUCCCCAUGUGUCUUUAUUCUCCUUUCAGAAGAGGUGUGAAAUUUGCUAAGAAUUUCAGAAAUCCAUUUCAGAUGUUGUUUUGACUCAUUUGUUUUGUUGGUCCCACAUGAGAGAACAAUUGUUUUGGUUUUUUUUUUUCAGUAGCAGUGCAGGUACAGCUAACUUUCUGGAGUAGCUGUAGUUCAUCUUGUAUUUGAAGUUGGGAGGGCUCUUUCCUAUGUUCCUUCCAGUUAGAGCAACCCAGUGAUAAAAAACAAGUGUAAGUUUGGAAUUUCUCCUAGCAAAAUCAACAGGAUAGAAGCAAAGGAAUUUUUCUACCCUUUCUAAAGAAAAAGGUACCAUUGCAGCUCUACAAGUAUCUUUUGUCUUUAAAGGCUGUUUUUUAUGAUGUCAGAAAAUUGUCUGGGGAUUUCUAAGGUGAAUGCAAUGUGUAGAAUUUUGACUACUUGUUUUUUGUUUUAUUUUGUUUUCCUUUUGCAUCAUCUUGUUGAAACUGAAUAUCUAGGCACCAUGCAACAAUAAUUGAACAGAAAAAAAAAAAGACUAAACCAAGCUGAAUUAAAUGUUCCUCUUAGACUGUGCAUUUAGAUUUCAGCCGCCAACUAUAUACAAAUCUUAUCAUUGUUGCAUCCAACUCGUGUUUCACACGCUCUUCAUAAUAACAGUACUACUGAUCAUCCUAAAAUCCAGCAUGACAAACAGGGAUUAUCUCUACUGCAUGUUUGUUACAAUCAUAAUUGUUACAAUGCUACAAAACUGUUGUUUUGUAGUUCAUUUGUAAUGGUACAUACAGCCAUAUGCUGCUUUAGUGCAAAACUUGCCAGCCACAAAAAUCAUUUUUCUGUGCCUAUAAAAAGCAUUACUCAUAUCAUUACUCUGGGGCUUGUAUAUAAGUUCCCUUAAAUUGAUUAGGAAAUAUCUUUUUUUAUUUUUUGGGUAGACAUACAGAUUGUAAUCACAAUAACGUAUCAAUGUAAGGGUGAUUACAACCAUGAUUACUCUUUCUCUACAGAUCUGUAUUAUCUACUAUUUUGUUUGUCUGGCUAUUUCCAUAUGAAUAUCUAAACUCAUUAGAGUAACAUCCAAAGAAUAGUAUGCUGCAUUACUGUGCAGUUUAAUCAUUGCCACAAGUGCUCCUCUCAGCAAUGCUAUAGGCUGAUUUUCUGGUUUUUGCAGAUCACUGCCAUUGUUUGCUGAGUGCCCAUUUGGGAGCACUUUUUGUGAUCUAGUGCUUUGCCUUGCAUAAUACUGAUCCAGAAAAACAGCAUGCUUGCAGAGAAACAUUAA
rnacentral:lncRNA from 1 species